UUCUAUUGCUUAUUUACACAUUUUUUAGUUUAAUUUAUGGUUUUUAUCUUGUUUUUACAGAAAAGGAAGAAAUUGGAAAAUUGGAGAAAAAGUGCAGAAAAUUGACAGAAAAGUGAUUGGGUCAGUGAUUUGCCCAGUGAUCUGCCCAGAUCAAGCUGAAGCAGAAACCUGGAGGCAACAGGCAGAAGUGAUAUGGGCAGUGAUUUGCCCAGGACACUCGAAGACACUGGCCAAGUCACUCGCAGAAGAUAGAGAGAACUGACUCGCAGAAACGUGAUCGGGUCUGUGAUUUGCCCAAUCACUUGAAGAAAUCGGUCAAAUCACCGGGCAAAUCACUUUCACAACAGAAACUGACAGCAGAGCGGGAAUUUGGGCAGAAAACAGAAAUCCGAAUUUUCAGAAGUCCAAAUCCAACUCAAUCACUAUCAAUACAAAUCCAAGAGCCACGAAAAGAACUUCUCAUCCAAGGAAUUCCAAUUGCAAUUAAAUUCAACAUCANNNN
rnacentral:lncRNA from 1 species